GCUCACUUUUAGUGCUCAUAUACUUAAGUUAAAAUGAUACAAAGAAGAUUAGCAUGGGUCUGCACAAGGAUGACAUGGAAAUUCGUGAAGCAUUCUGUAUAUUU
ensembl:snRNA U6 U6 spliceosomal RNA